GCCAGAGUGGUGUAGUGGUUUGAGCAGUGGAUUGUGACUCUGGAGAACAGAGUUCAAAUCUCUGCUCAGGCA